UACGUAGGGCGCAAGCGUUGUCCGGAAUUAUUGGGCGUAAAGAGCUCGUAGGCGGUUUGUCGCGUCUGCUGUGAAAACUCGAGGCUCAACCUCGGGCGUGCAGUGGGUACGGGCAGACUAGAGUGCGGGAGGGGUGACUGGAAUUCCUGGUGUAGCGGUGGAAUGCGCAGAUAUCAGGAGGAACACCGAUGGCGAAGGCAGGUCACUGGGCCGCAACUGACGCUGAGGAGCGAAAGCAUGGGGAGCGAACAGG
rnacentral:rRNA from 1 species